GGAAAGAAACCAACAGGGAUUGCCCCAGUAACGGCGAGUGAAGCGGCAGUAGCUCAAAUUUGAAAUCUGGGGUCCUCGGCCUCCGAGUUGUAAUUUGGAGAGGAAUCUUCGGGGGGGAGCGCCGGCCCAUGUUCCUUGGAACAGGACGUCACAGAGGGUGAGAAUCCCGUGCCAGGCCGGCUGCCUCCUCCCGGGUGAAGGUCCUUCGACGAGUCGAGUUGUUUGGGAAUGCAGCUCCAAGUGGGUGGUAAAUUUCAUCUAAAGCUAAAUACCGGCGGGAGACCGAUAGCGCACAAGUAGAGUGAUCGAAAGAUGAAAAGCACUUUGAAAAUAGAGUCAAAAAGUACGUGAAAUUGUUGAAAGGGAAGCGCUUGAGACCAGACUCAGGCCCGGGCAAACAUCUCUCCCCUCGGGGCCGUGCAAUUGCCUGGGGCUGGGCCAGCAUCAGUUGGCGUGGCGGGACAAAGGCGUGGGGAAUGUGGCUCCCCUCGGGGAGUGUUAUUAGCCCCGCGCUCAAUGCCGCCGGCGCCGACUGAGGACCGCGCCUCGGCUAGGAUGCUGGCUUAAUGGCCUCCAGCGACCCGUCUUGAAACACGGACCAAGGAGUCUAACAUCUAUGCGAGUGUUUGGGCGCCAAACCCUUGCGCGGAAUGAAAGUGAGCGGAGGUGGGAACCCCCCCGCGGGGCGCACCAUCGACCGAUCCUGAUGUCUUCGGAUGGAUUUGAGUAGGA
rnacentral:rRNA from 1 species